rnacentral:sRNA from 1 species
AAUGGUGUUGCUAUAAGGUUUGACCCUUUGAUAACUCUUGGUGGAUUAAGUGUCCCUAAUCAAGACAUCCAUUUUAGAUUACAUUCAAAGGAUCUUGUUUGUGUAUUAUUUUGAAUACUGUGAGACCUGGCUAUUCCCGGACAGUGGCUGAAAUGGCUUUCCAAGUAUGGGGCCUUCAGACUGCACCCUAGAUCUAAGACCUAGGAGCCUGCCUCAGUCUGAGAAGUUUCUCAAAAAAAAAAAAAGGAGGGGGCAUUACUUCCCAAUUAACUCAAUUAACUUCUUCUGGUGUUUAAGAAGCUACCAGGAAAUUAACCAAAUAAGGUCUCCUGCCUACUGUCUAUGUCUGAGGAACUCCGGGCCCUGGAAGUGAUUUCUUAAAGAAUGUACUAACCAACCUCAGGACUGCAAUUAGGUUCUACCAAGGAGAGGAAUGACAUCAGAGAAGGAGCCAUCUGUUUCCUGCUGAGCCCCCAACAGAGACACUUUCCAAUCAAGAAUGUACUGCAGCGAAUUCAAGAAGUACCAGUGUGGAACAUUAUAAGUGCCUCUGGGAGCAUCAACAGAAUAUUCAACAGAAUUUUCAUUUGUGAAUAUGGCUCGCACCAACAAAGGGGUCUCUCACUGAACCCAGGACAAGGCAGCCAUCUUCCAUCGAUGGGAUGGAGUUAACAAGCAGGUGUGUGUGUGACCACACCGGGUUUUCCCACGGGUGCUGAUGACUUGAACUCAGGGCCUUCAACUUGUCUAAAAGUAUCCUCCCACUUCUCGUGAUCUGUGGGAAAGAAUACAAAGUGUGAACAGAUAAGGAAAAUACACAAAGAAAUACAAAGUAGCAAGCCCAGCUCAGAAAAGUCCCAUGCUGCCAAAUGGUCAGGAAGGUUUAAUUUUGUCCAAAAAAAAAAAAAGUCUGAAAAGCUGUAACAAAGCCCAAAAGCCAAGGUGCCACAUGUAGGCUGCAGAUGUGAACAGCGGCAGAAACCGUCCUUUCUCUGGGUUGAUGUAAAAAGACAACCCAAGAGUCUCACCGAGGCACACGCAAAACCAGCCAGGAAUGACGCUUUGAAGCCAUCCUUUAAAUGAACUGUCUCGGUGUCCUACAGUUCAUCAAAGGUUUCCUGUCUCUGAAAGGUCAGCCUCAUAUCCCUUACCCUUUCUGAAUCUCAGUCUCCUUUCAGCUCUUCACUGACAAACGGCGAGCAGGGGCCUCUUCGUCCUAACAAUCUCGAUUGCACAGUUCACAGAUUCUUAAGAUAAAUCACUACGCGAAUAUCAUAUACAGUCUUUGGUCUGUCUCACGGGUCUAUGUUAAAAAAUAAAAAUAAAAACCAAUACUUUUGUAAUAGCGAGGGGGUGUUGAAACCCUGAUUAAAUAAAGUGAGGUUAAAAACUCGGGAAGACA